rnacentral:rRNA from 1 species
AACGAACGCUGGCGGCGUGCUUAAUACAUGCAAGUCGAACGAGAAAAUCCGGCUUCGGUCGGGUGAGUAAAGUGGCGAACGGGUGAGUAACACGUGGAUAAUCUGCCCUUGAAUCCGGGAUAAUCCUUCGAAAGGGGGUCUAAUACCGGAUAACAUCUUGAAGGGGCAUCUCUUUAAGAUCACAGGCGGGGCAACCUGCCGUUCAGGGAUGAGUCCGCGUUUCAUUAGCUAGUUGGUGAGGUAACAGCCCACCAAGGCUACGAUGAAUAGCCGGCCUGAGAGGGUGAUCGGCCACACUGGGACUGAGAUACGGCCCAGACUCCUACGGGAGGCAG